rnacentral:tRNA from 1 species
CAAAAAGUAGCUUAAUCAAAGCAUUCAACUUACAAUUGAAAAAUGUUAGUCAUACUAACCUUUUUGC